UAUUAAAAUUGUUGCGUCUAAAAAGCUCGUAGUUUGAAAACUCGCCCUGGCUUACAAUAGGUUCCCAAUGGGGGCCGCCGUUUGUCGGGUGUGAAUGCCGAUGACUGUUUUUGCCGACUUGAUUGUCCGGCUUAUAAGAGUCAUCAAACAUCACUUUGAUUAAAUUAGAGUGCUUAAAGCAAGUGUGUUACUUGGAUAUAAAUGCAUGGGAUGAUGGAAUAUGUUGUUGUUCUGUUUGUUGGUUUUUGAACGAUAAAAUGAUUGAAAGGAACUGUUGGGGGCAUUCGUAUUGUUGUGAGAGAGGUGAAAUUCUUAGACCACAGCAAGACGAACUACUGCGAAAGCAUUUGCCAAGAAUGUUUUCAUUGAUCAAGAACGAAAGUUAGAGGUUCGAAGGCGAUCAGAUACCGCCCUAGUUCUAACCAUAAACUAUGCCAACUAGCAAUUUGCUUAUGUUCUUUAUAUGACUAAGUGAGAGGCCACGGGAAACCAAAGUAGGGUUAUGGGGGAAGUAUGGUUGCAAAGCUGAAACUUAAAGGAAUUGACGGAAGGGCACCACCAGGAGUGGAGCCUGCGGCUUAAUUUGACUCAACACGGGAAAACUUACCUGGUCCUGACACUAGAAGGAUUGACAGAUCCUUCUAGUGGAUCCUUCGGUGGAUGGUGGUGCAUGGCCGUUCUUAGUUGGUGGAGUGAUUUGUCUGGUUAAUUCCGAUAACGAACGAGACUCUAGCCUAUUAAAUAACACACAGAAUCUCGUCUUCUGUGGUGUUUCUUAAUGGGAUCAAGUGUGUUUAACGCUUUGAAACAGAGCAAUAACAGGUCUGUGAUGCCCUUAGAUGUUCGGGGCCGCACGCGCGCUACAUUGAGAGACAAAAUGAGUUUUCUAGUCUUUAAUAAGGCUAGUAAUCUUUGAAUGUUUUUCUUAAUGGGGAUAGGGGAUUGCAAUUGUGCCCCUUGAACGAGGAAUUCCCAGUAAGUGCUAGUCAUUAGCUAGUACUGAUUACGUCCCUGCCCUUUGUACACACCGCCCGUCGCUACUACCGAUUGAAUGGUUUAGUGAGAUCAUCUGAGUAGAUGUGCUCGUACUUUGUAUGUGUAAUGUUUGCAAUGAAGAUCAAACUUGAUCAUUUAGAGGAAGUAAAAGUCGUAACAAGGUUUCCGUAGGUGAACCUGCGG
rnacentral:rRNA from 1 species